rnacentral:lncRNA from 1 species
GAGGUGGGUGAAUCUCAGUGAGUUCAAUACCAGGCUGGUUCACAAUGAGUUCCAGGUCGGUCGUACAGAGCUACACAAAUAAAAUGUCUGCCAGUGGAUGGUGACACAGGCCUUUAAUCCCAGUACUCUGGAGGCAGAGACAGGUGGAUCCCUGUGAGUUUAAGGCCAGCCUGGUCUACAGAGUGAGUCCCAGGACAAGCAAGGCUACACAGACAAACCCUGUCUCGACAAAAUAAAUAAAAUAAAAUCCUCCCCCGCCCCCUUAUUGUCUCUGUACUGUUAUGAAUCUUGCUUUUUAAUUUUGUUUUUGCAAAAGAUCCAGCUAGGGCUGGUUACAGGUGGUUGUGAGCCGCCUAAUGUGGGUGUAUGGGGAUCGAUCUUAAACCCCCUGGAAGAGAAAUACGUGCUGUUCACCGCUGAGCCAUCUUUCCCAUCAAUCUUUAUCUGUAGAUAUGCUUUCUACCUUGUCUUUAAUGUUCGAGGGGGGAUUCACGGUGGGAGCCUUAUAAAUUCAAACAAGGUUUUUACGGAUGUGCGUCUCAGGAAAUGAGGGGUUUCUACCCUCUUGCAGUCCUCCUGCUUUGCUUUAGUGGUCCCUCUACCCUGGUCCUGAUGUCUUUAUGCAGCGGUGAUGCGUCCGGGGCGGGAGCACGGAGGUCUCUCCCAGGCCGCUGGGCAGUCGGCUGGCAGGUGGCUGGCUGAGUUCACCCCGCCCCCGGCCCUAGCCCCGCCCCACUGCUCCACGCGCAUUGGCGCGACCAGCUGUCUCUCUCCGCGCUGGGGAGGGGGCGCGCGGCUGCGGUCCCUCUGCAGAGGGCUGCGCGCUCAGCGGUCUCCGGGGCUCUCCGUUGUUUGGGCCCGUGCUCCUCGACCUCGGGAGCAGAGCUGGCCAGAGACCGCGACGAUCUGGGUUGGGCUUCAAAUAAAGAAGAAGUUGAGCCAGGAAAGUGCUUUCAUUCAAAGAGUAAAUUAAAAGAAAACACCGUGAGCCUCAGAUAAACAAGGCGUUCGUGUCCUGAAGAAGUCACAGAAACAACUGUGGUGUGAGGGGAGAGUGGACACGUAGGAGAAAUCGGAGCUGGUGUGAUAUUUCUGUCACAAAAGACUUACGGAGGAAGAG